GACGAACGCUGGCGGCGCGCUUAACACAUGCAAGUCGAACGGAAAGGCCCUGCUUUUGUGGGGUGCUCGAGUGGCGAACGGGUGAGUAACACGUGAGUAACCUGCCCUUGACUUUGGGAUAACUUCAGGAAACUGGGGCUAAUACCGGAUAGGAGCUCCUGCUGCAUGGUGGGGGUUGGAAAGUUUCGGCGGUUGGGGAUGGACUCGCGGCUUAUCAGCUUGUUGGUGGGGUAGUGGCUUACCAAGGCUUUGACGGGUAGCCGGCCUGAGAGGGUGACCGGCCACGUUGGGACUGAGAUACGGCCCAGACUCCUACGGGAGGCAGCAGUGGGGAAUAUUGCACAAUGGGCGGAAGCCUGAUGCAGCAACGCCGCGUGCGGGAUGACGGCCUUCGGGUUGUAAACCGCUUUCGCCUGUGACGAAGCGUGAGUGACGGUAAUGGGUAAAGAAGCACCGGCUAACUACGUG
rnacentral:rRNA from 1 species